UUCAUGCUAGGCGCGACAGCCGCCCACCUGCGUUUUUCCGAGAAAAGACUCUGUUUUCGUGUUGUGGGGUGCGGAGAGAGAGCUACUAGCGGAAUGACGACGCUGGAUUAACACCACUAAACAACGUAAAUCGGUGUUAACGGCUCCCAUUGCGGUCCCGCAUUCCCCACACAGGAGGAGUCUCUAGGAAAGCGACAGAGGAAAGACUCAUCGGUGUCGCUUCUGCAGUUACUCAAGUUACCACACGCCCAACGUUAAGAAGCACGAGAGGAUUCACACCGGGGAGAGGCCCUACGUGUGCCAAGUGUGCUUCAGGGGAUUUUCGGAACAGAGCAACUUGUACGGGCAUUCAAGAAGCGUUCACGAGCGUCAGAGGAGCCGCACCUACUCGGAGUGAAAAACCGGGCUUGUUGCUGUUGUCCUUGCAUGACGGACUGGCACUGGGAACGGGACAGAGAGAAGAGACGCACUUACUCAGUCUGCGGGAGUGCACUGGUACGGGAGGAUCAACCACAGCACCACUCGCAUGAGGUGUGAGCCGCCACGCCCGCACGCCCCCUGCGCCUGCUGCCGAGGAGCCUCCAGUGAGGCACCGGUGCAGCUUCUGCGAUUACUCCAGUCACUACAAGGCUCGCACCAGGGUCCAUGAGAGAACACACACCGCGGAGAAGCCCUACGUGUGCCCAGUGUGCGCGAAAUGAUUUUCGCAAAAGGUCUUCCUGGACAGACAUCUGGUAGCCAUCCACAAGGGCCAGAGGAACUUCACGUGUUCCGCCUGCGGGUGCGCGUUUUCCUCCAAGGACACCCUGGACAGACAUUCCAAUGCGGUGCACGAGGACCAGAGGAACUUCGCGUGCUCAGUCUGCGGGUGGGCGUUCCAACGGAAGGAUCAUUUACGGCGUCACCAGAGGGUGCACAUUAAAUGAUGUGGAACGGAUUGAGUCCGAGCGAGUGCACUGAUGCCUCUCUCCUCUACAUCGAGAUGUCUUCUGGCGUUGACGCCAUUGGAAGAACUUUUCUGAUUAAGCUUCCUGUUCCUAGUACCCCUUUCGUAUGGGCAUGAUCUGUCGCGUGGUCAUUGAUGAGUGCCCGUGUCACUUUUUCUGAUUAGUAUAUUCAACAGUGGUUCGCGGAACACGUCAGCGCGAUGUUCAAGAGAUAUUUGGCGGCGUCGUUUUUACAUUACUGCUUGUCACGUGUGCUCACUCGAAGAGCUCAUCCCCGCUUUGUGUGCGCAAUGUUGUGUCAGCAUCUCAAGUGUACCUCCGGGUACUUCCGGGUACACUAAACUUUUAGUGAACGGGACAGCAAAAUACUGAAUUAAAAAUAUUGCAUUCAAAUUGCA